UUAAUUGAAACCAAAUAGAGGUUUAUCACUGUUAAUGAUAAUAUUGAAUAAUAUUUCCAAUUAAG
rnacentral:tRNA from 1 species